CCUACGGGGGGCAGCAGUGGGGGAUAUUGCACAAUGGGGGAAACCCUGAUGCAGCGACGCCGCGUGGGCGAAGAAGUAUUUCGGUAUGUAAAGCCCUAUCAGCAGGGAAGAAGAAAUGACGGUACCUGAGUAAGAAGCACCGGCUAAAUACGUGCCAGCAGCCGCGGUAAUACGUAUGGUGCAAGCGUUAUCCGGAUUUACUGGGUGUAAAGGGAGCGCAGGCGGCACGGCAAGCCUGAUGUGAAAGCCCGCGGCCCAACCGCGGGACUGCAUUGGGAACUACCGGGCUGGAGUGCCGGAGAGGUAUGCGGAAUGCGCAGUGUAGCGGUGAAAUGCUUAGAUAUUGCGCAGAACUCCGAUUGCGAAGGCAGCAUACCGGCGGCGAUCUGACGCUGAGGCACGAAAGCGUGGGUAUCGAACAGGAUUAGAUACCCUGGUAGUC
rnacentral:rRNA from 1 species